UACGAAGGGGGCUAGCGUUGCUCGGAAUCACUGGGCGUAAAGGGUGCGUAGGCGGGGUAUUAAGUCAGAGGUGAAAUCCUGGAGCUCAACUCCAGAACUGCCUUUGAUACUGAUAGUCUUGAGUAUGGGAGAGGUGAGUGGAACUGCGAGUGUAGAGGUGAAAUUCGUAGAUAUUCGCAAGAACACCAGUGGCGAAGGCGGCUCACUGGCCCAUUACUGACGCUGAGGCACGAAAGCGUGGGGAGCAAACAGG
rnacentral:rRNA from 1 species